UGGGGAAUUUUGCACAAUGGGGGAAACCCUGAUGCAGCGACGCCGCGUGAUUUAGAAGGCCUUCGGGUUGUAAAAAUCUUUUGUAUAGGAAGAAAAUGACAGUACUAUACGAAUAAGGUCCGGCUAAUUACGUGCCAGCAGCCGCGGUAAUACGUAAGGACUGAGCGUUGUCCGGAAUCAUUGGGCGUAAAGGGUACGUAGGCGGGUUUUUAAGUUAGAAGUCAAAGGCUAUAGCUCAACUAUAGUAAGCUUCUAAAACUGGGGACCUUGAGUAAUGGAAGGGAAAGUGGAAUUCCUAGUGUAGCGGUGGAAUGCGCAGAUAUUAGGAGGAAUACCGGUGGCGAAGGCGACUUUCUGGCCAUUAACUGACGCUGAGGUACGAAAGCGUGGGUAGCAAACAG
rnacentral:rRNA from 1 species